UGGGUCUCGUAGCCAUAGCCUUUUGGAGACAUGUCUGAGAACCUGAGUCACUCACCCUGGAAGAGACGUCUAGAGAAACAUGGUGUCUGCCAACGGUGGAGCUGAAAUCGAUUCCCAGUUGGAAUCUGAGAUCUUCACAGGUGCCACGGGGCAGGAAGAUAAGACACUGUCCCUCCUUCACUUCUCUGCAGUUGUCCAGAGACAAGAUGAGGAUUAAAGUUGUAGGAGAAGCUAAUCAAGACAUUGGUGGGUCCAGAAGCUGCUCCCUGCCUCUGGGUGUGAGAGCAGAAAGUGGGCCAUCAUGGGGCAGAGCUGUGGGAGCUGCUGGGGUGGAGCUCGAGGACAGCUCUUCUGCAGGGUUAGGGUUAGCUUGCCUGCUGUCAGCACUGGGGCAGGCUCAACAGAUGUGACAGAUGGUCCUUUACUACAGGUGUUGGUCAAUGGUCCCAGGCAGAGAAAACAGGUACGUGCCAAGACGUACCAGUUAGCUAGCUACCUUGGCCCUUGGGAUAUCCAGUUUUAGAAAUUUUAGUUUCUUAAAAAAAAAAACAACAACAACAAAACAACAACAAAAAACAUCAUUCCUGAGCAUCAUAUUUAUAGUACCACUUUCAGGGACCAGGGUGGUUGCAUUGCCCUGGAAAAAGAUGCCAUUUUUAUCAUCACCCUGUUGGGAGGCGAUGAUGGAGAGACCCCGCCCCUGAGGUGAGUCCUGGCCAGGCAGAGAGCAGGGCAGAUUCCUGCCUGAGCCUCUGUUCAACUCUGGGAUCUAACUGCCAAGGUGCCUUUCAGCGGCACUCGAAAAUGACUGACAUGUCAGAUGCCCUCUGAAAGCAGCUUUGUGACCCAUUGCACAGAACCAGGACCUGAGCUCUUUGAGAGCCAAAUCACAGUGUCAUUGAGUUGCCGCUCAGGAUGACAUACUUUUCGCGAUGAUGUUCACACAAAGGAGAAGGUUUCAGAGAAAUCUGAAAAUUGGCAAGUGCCCUCUCUCGACCUUUUCAAAAAUAGUCUGAGUCACUUUCGCUUUCAGCCUCUGAACCGUGUUGAAUGAACCUUUUGUGCAGUUUACAGAAAGUGAGGAAGUGUUUGGCAAUCGAGAUAAAUCCGACCUCCGAACAGC
rnacentral:lncRNA from 1 species